CCCACUCGGUUCACUUCGCAAGCAACAGCCCUUCGUGCCAAAGAUGUCCGAGGAGAGGCACCACCACCACCUCUUCCACCACCGCCAGGAGGAGGAGAAGCCCUCCGAGGAGGUGGUCUACUCGGAGACCGCCUAUAACCCCAGCGGCGAUGACUACACCUCCGGCUACACGGAGACCGCCGUCGCCGAGUCCGCUUCAGAUGAGUUCGAGAGGUACGAGAAGGAAGAGAAGCAUCACAAGCACAAGGAGCACCUCGGCGAGAUGGGCGCCCUCGCCGCCGGUGCCUUUGCCUUGGUACUCCUCUUUCUUCACAUACUGCAUAGACAUCGGUUUCUUGAUCCUUUUUCCUUUUUCUUGGAGACCAUCAUAAGAACUAUGCAGUCGACUACAUGUGACUAAGUCGAACUUACAAUAAAUGGUGAUCCAACAGUACGAGAAGCAUGAGGCCAAGAAGGACCCUGAGCACGCCCACAAGCACAAGAUCGAGGAGGAGAUCGCUGCAGCGGUGGGCGUCGGCAGCGGAGGGUAUGCCUUCCAUGAGCACCACGAGAAGAAGGAUGCCGAGAAAGAGGCCGAGGAGGCGAGCGGACAGAAGCAUCACCACCACCACCUCUUUUGAGGGCGCUAUAUGUGUAUCUAUGCCCUUUAUGAUCCAUCUUAUGCGAUGUCGAUAAUUUGGUGUUUUAUUACACCCCAAAUAAGCACUGAUUUAUCGAGUGCAACAAUAAAGGGUGUAUUUCUUUAAGAUUUAUGUUAGUGUGGAAUGCUUCGUCCUUUUUAAUCGUUGUAUGCUAUCAAAAUAUUAAAAAGAGUCGUUUGUAUAAUUUUUUUUUUCUCAUCAACCUUCCUCUCUUUUCUAUUAAAAUAAUCAAAUAUUAAUAUGUCAUAUCCG
rnacentral:lncRNA from 1 species